GACGAACGCUGGCGGCGUGCUUAACACAUGCAAGUCGAACGGAAAGGCCCUGCUUUUUUGGGGUUCUCGAUUGGCGAACGGGGGAGUAACACGUGAGUAACCUGCCCUUGACUUUGGGAUAACUUCAGGAAACUGGAGCUAAUACCGUAUAGGAUCUCCUGCUGCAUUGUGGGGGGUGGAAAUUUUCGGCGGGUGGGGAUGGACGCGCGGCUUAUCAGCUUGUUGGUUGGGUAGUGGCUUACCAAGGCUUUGACGGGUAGCCGGCCUGAGAGGGUGAACGGCCACAUUGGGCCUGAGAGACGGACCAGACUCCAACGGGAGGCAGCAGUGGGGAAUAUUGCACAAUGGGAGGAAGCCUGAUGCAGAAACGCCGCGUGCGGGAUGACGGUCUUCGGGUUGUAAAAAGCUUUAGCCUGUGACGAAGCGUGAGUGACGGUAAUGGGUAAAGAAGCACCGGCUAACUACGUG
rnacentral:rRNA from 1 species